AGAAGGAAAAGAAGAAAAUUAAACCACUCUUAAUUCACCACCACCAUCCCUCCAUCAAGAUGGCCUUUGCUAACAUUUUGUACAAUGAGAUCAAAUCCAGAUCUUUUGCUGUAAGGAUGGGCCUGAAGCCGGGAGGAGGGGACCCUGGGCACGCCAGGAUCGCCGUGUGCCGAGGCAAUGAGAGCAGGACAGCACUGUCACCGUCUGAAUCACCCCGAGCACAGCCCGUCCUUGCGCCUUUCAGCUCCGUGGCAGCAGGCGAACCGCUCUACGCUACCGGUGUUGACCGAGGAGCUCCAAUUUAAUGGUGAGCA